rnacentral:rRNA from 1 species
AUACGGAGGGUGCAAGCGUUAAUCGGAAUUACUGGGCGUAAAGCGCACGUAGGUUGUCCUGUAAGUCAGGGGUGAAAGCCCGCGGCUCAACUGCGGAACUGCCCUUGAUACUGCAGGACUCGGAUCCGGGAGAGGUCAGCGGAAUUCCAGGUGUAGGAGUGAAAUCCGUAGAUAUCUGGAGGAACAUCAGUGGCGAAGGCGGCUGACUGGACCGGCAUUGACGCUGAGGUGCGAAAGCGUGGGUAGCAAACAGGAUUAGAUACCCUGGUAGUCCACGCUGUAAACGAUGGAUGCUAGGUGUCGGGGCGCAAGCUUCGGUGCCGCAGCUAACGCAUUAAGCAUCCCGCCUGGGGAGUACGGUCGCAAGGCUGAAACUCAAAUGAAUUGGCGGGG